UACGGAGGCCCCGAGCGUUGUUCGGAUUUAUUGGGCGUAAAGGGUGCGUAGGCGGCAUCUUAAGUCUGGUGUGAAAGGCGCGGGCUCAACCUGCGGACUGCAUUGGAUACUGGGAUGCUGGAGGACUGGAGAGGAGAAUGGAAUUCACGGUGGAGCAGUGAAAUGCGUAGAUAUCGUGAGGAAGGCCAGUGGCGAAGGCGAUUCUCUGGACAGUACCUGACGCUGAGGCACGAAGGCUGGGGGAGCGAACAGG
rnacentral:rRNA from 1 species